rnacentral:rRNA from 1 species
AGACCCGAAACCCGGUGAUCUAGCCAUGGGCAGGUUGAAGGUUGGGUAACACUAACUGGAGGACCGAACCGACUAAUGUUGAAAAAUUAGCGGAUGACCUGUGGCUGGGGGUGAAAGGCCAAUCAAACCGGGAGAUAGCUGGUUCUCCCCGAAAGCUAUUUAGGUAGCGCCUCGUGAAUUCAUCUCCGGGGGUAGAGCACUGUUUCGGCUAGGGGGCCAUCCCGGCUUACCAACCCGAUGCAAACUGCGAAUACCGGAGAAUGUUAUCACGGGAGACACACGGCGGGUGCUAACGUCCGUCGUGAAGAGGGAAACAACCCAGACCGCCAGCUAAGGUCCCAAAGUCAUGGUUAAGUGGGAAACGAUGUGGGAAGGCCCAGACAGCCAGGAUGUUGGCUUAGAAGCAGCCAUCAUUUAAAGAAAGCGUAAUAGCUCACUGGUCGAGUCGGCCUGCGCGGAAGAUGUAACGGGGCUAAACCAUGCACCGAAGCUGCGGCAGCGACACUCAGGUGUUGUUGGGUAGGGGAGCGUUCUGUAAGCCUGUGAAGGUGGCCUGUGAGGGUUGCUGGAGGUAUCAGAAGUGCGAAUGCUGACAUAAGUAACGAUAAAGCGGGUGAAAAGCCCGCUCGCCGGAAGACCAAGGGUUCCUGUCCAACGUUAAUCGGGGCAGGGUGAGUCGACCCCUAAGGCGAGGCCGAAAGGCGUAGUCGAUGGGAAACGGGUUAAUAUUCCCGUACUUGGUGUUACUGCGAAGGGGGGACGGAGAAGGCUAUGUUGGCCGGGCGACGGUUGUCCCGGU